GGUUCAAGUGAUGAUUGAUAAACUGCAACAAUAUGACAGGAGUUGAACUCCCGUGAUUCGUAGUUUUAAGUCUGAUGAUU